rnacentral:rRNA from 1 species
AUUGAACGCUGGCGGCAUGCUUUACACAUGCAAGUCGAACGGCAGCGCGGGGCAACCUGGCGGCGAGUGGCGAACGGGGGAGUAAUAUAUCGGAACGUACCCAGAAGUGGGGGAUAACGUAGCGAAAGUUACGCUAAUACCGCAUACGAUCUACGGAUGAAAGUGGGGGACCUGCGGCCCUCAUGCUUUUGGAGCGGCCGAUAUCUAAUUAGCGAGUUGGUGAGGUAAAGGCUCACCAAGGCGACGAUCAGUAGCUGGUCUGAGAGGACGACCAGCCACACUGGGACUGAGACGCGGCCCAGACUCCUACGGGAGGCAGCAGUGGGGAAUUUUGGACAAUGGGGGCAAGCCUGAUCCAGCAAUGCCGCGUGAGUGAAGAAGGCCUUCGGGUUGUAAGGCUCUUUUGUCAGGGAAGAAGCGGCAGAGGAUAAUACCUUCGGCUAAUGACGGUACCUGAAGAAUAAGCACCGGCUAACUACGUGCCAGCAGCCGCGGUAA